GGUUUACCGCCUUGGGAUAGGCUUGCGUCUGAUUAGCUAGUUGGUGUGGUAAUGGCACACCAAGGCUACGAUCAGUAACUGGUCUGAGAGGAUGAUCAGUCACACUGAAACUGAGACACGGUCCAGACUCCUACGGGAGGCAGCAGUGAGGAAUAUUGGGCAAUGCACGAAAGUGUGACCCAGCAACGCCGCGUGGAGGAUGAAGGUAUUCUAUAUCGUAAACUCCUGUGAGAGCAGACGAAAGACAGAUUAUUAAUUUGGAUGACUGUAUGCUCAGAGGAAGCCCCGGCUAACUACGUG
rnacentral:rRNA from 1 species